rnacentral:rRNA from 1 species
AUGGCGAUCCUGUCAACUUCGCAUGCCACUGCGCACCGCUGGCUGCAUAGCCUCCCGCCACGCGCGCCUGGAGAGGCCCCCAGGGCAACACGUUGGUGGAUGCGCUGGAGCGUGGGCACAGAGUGGCCGCCUGCCGCGGCAAGCGCCUUGCCGCUGCUGUUAUCUUGUCGGGUCCAGAAGGUUGUCGCUCACCGGGCCUCGAGGUAUCUGGGCUGGUCUUUCCGGCAAGCUCCUCUUGCCGGGGCCUUGUUGCCUUGUCGGAGCGCGUGGCGCGUCGCGGCAAGUUCCUUGGCGUGCCUCGGUUGGCCUUCCCGGCAAGCUCCUCUUGUUGGGGCCUUGUCUCCUGAGGUUAAAUACUUUGUUCUUGAAUGGCUCCAAGGAAACCUUGGAGGAUCUUGGCGUUCGCCCGGCAAGCCUUGCCGCGGGGUGCUGCAACUGCCCGUGCACAAGUUCGGGGUACUAGGGUACCCCUAUUCUAGUACACCGACAGGAGCCCCCGGGCCUGGGCCAGACACAGUGCCGAGCGCUGUUGGGCCAGGUCCAAGACAGGGCACGGGCACACGCGGACUGGGCCACACCAAAUCUCGCUCCGUAUCCACCGCGCUCUCCCAUAACGGCACGCGUUGA